GUGGUGUAGCAAAAGGGUUAGGUAUUUAAAAUUUUCAUUCAAAAUAUCCGAUGCAUCGAAAACGUUAAUGCCCAGAAAUCUUUGACUAUAUCAAUCAAAGUACAAUAAAUGUAAAUUUGGAUUAGAAGAAUAUCUGUAGUGCUAAUCUAAUUUUUAUGAGACAUCCAAUUGUCCACCCUCCAAUGGUGACGCACAUAAAAAUUGAACCAAAGACUGC
rnacentral:lncRNA from 1 species